GAGUUUGAUCAUGGCUCAGGAUGAACGCUGGCGGCGUGCCUAACACAUGCAAGUCGAGCGAACCCUUCAGGGUGAGCGGCGGACGGGUGAGUAACGCGUGGGUAACCUGCCCUGUACACACGGAUAACAUACCGAAAGGUAUGCUAAUACGAGAUAACAUAUUUUAAUCGCAUGGUUAAGAUAUCAAAGCUCCGGCGGUACAGGAUGGACCCGCGUCUGAUUAGCUAGUUGGUGAGGUAAUGGCUCACCAAGGCGACGAUCAGUAGCCGACCUGAGAGGGUGAUCGGCCACACUGGAACUGAGACACGGUCCAGACUCCUACGGGAGGCAGCAGUGGGGAAUAUUGCACAAUGGGCGAAAGCCUGAUGCAGCAACGCCGCGUGAGCGAUGAAGGCCUUCGGGUCGUAAAGCUCUGUCCUCAAGGAAGAUAAUGACGGUACUUGAGGAGGAAGCCCCGGCUAACUACGUGCCAGCAGCCGCGGUAAUACGUAGGGGGCUAGCGUUAUCCGGAAUUACUGGGCGUAAAGGGUGCGUAGGCGGUCUUUCAAGCCAGAAGUGAAAGGCUACGGCUCAACCGUAGUAAGCUUUUGGAACUGUAAGACUUGAGUGCAGGAGAGGAGAGUGGAAUUCCUAGUGUAGCGGUGAAAUGCGUAGAUAUUAGGAGGAACACCAGUAGCGAAGGCGGCUCUCUGGACUGUAACUGACGCUGAGGCACGAAAGCGUGGGGAGCAAACAGGAUUAGAUACCCUGGUAGUCCACGCCGUAAACGAUGAGUACUAGGUGUCGGGGGUUACCCCCCUCGGUGCCGCAGCUAACGCAUUAAGUACUCCGCCUGGGAAGUACGCUCGCAAGAGUGAAACUCAAAGGAAUUGACGGGGACCCGC
rnacentral:rRNA from 1 species